AACCGCGGUUAGACGAGUAGGCCCAAGCUGAUAGAAUACGGCGUAAAGCGUGGCCCGGGUCCUAACAAAACUAAAGUCGAAAGCUCCCCGGACUGUUAUACGUUAUUGGGGGCGUGAAGCCCAACUACGAAAGUGAUUUUAAUAUACCACUGGCCACGAAAGCUGAGAUA
rnacentral:rRNA from 2 species